CCGCCACCGCCGUGUUCCGCGUCUCCAGCGACCGAGUGCUGGUGGUAGACAGCGACGAGGACACCGAGCUGUACGGACCGCCGCAAUGCUCGCCAUCGAGGAUAGGGCCUGAUGGAAAAUGUGUCUUAUGCCUCAGGCCAUUUGUUGCCCCGUAUGUCGUGAUCCAGUGUUCGCAGGUCAACUGUGAGGUAUGCUGGUUACAAUCACUGCGUUUUCAGAAAAUAUGUCCGCAAUGCAGAGCUAUCAGCUUCCCAGACCAUUGUGAAGAAUACACAUGUGAAACAUAGCACUUAUAGAUCAAUGUAUGACUCUUAUGUUUGUUUUAUAUGUUAUUUGUAUAUUAUACAGAUUGUGUACAAGCGAAAAUGAUUAAAUUAAACCACAUACACUACGUACUGUUUGUAAGAAAUAAAACGUGUUAUGGUAAAUAAUUGUUAACUAGUUAAAAAAAAAUACUGAUUAAAUAAA